rnacentral:lncRNA from 1 species
UGAUAAUUUCAUAUUUUAAUAGAGAUGUUCUCAUCUUUGACAUACAAGCCUGAUAAAGGACGAAAAAUAAAUCAAAGGAAAUGUUCACACAACAAGGUUCCAGUCUAAAACACUGGUUGAUUAUAUACAUCCUUUAUAAUUCCUUACAAUAAAUCAGAAGGAAUCAACUGGUAUUCUCAAUAUAAAGAUUUUAUCCAUACAGCAACAGCAAAAUAAAACAAGGGGGAUGUAUAAGAUAAAUAUACAAAUACUGUACAAUAAGAAAUUCUUAUAUAUAUUUCAUGCACUAAUUUAAUUAUAGUACAAAAUGGAAACUGGAAAUGGGAACACAAUGUAAAAAUUCUGAAUACGAACUUUGUUUAUUGUAUUUGAAAUGUUGAAUUAUAUGGUGUUAAAAAUAGUAUUGAACAAUUUAAUUCUCUUUCCAUGCACAUUCUGAUACACAUAUUACAAUUUUGUACACAAUUUUAACAUUUAUGAAUUGUAAAAAUGCAUAUAUUUACAAAUAACAAUUCAACAAACCAAAUGAUAUCAACAUGUGAAUAUCUUCUAACAUCACAAAACAAUAAAGAAUGUGCAUAAAUAUAAAAUCACAAAAAAUGUAUGAUGAAACAUUU